UAGAGCAAGAGACCGCCGAACAUUACAGUCACUCUAUUUGUUAUUUUCAUUAGGCCAAUAGGCCUUAACAUUUAACUUUUGGGAUAAUUUAUCGAAUGUUGGAACCGUUGUGUUGAACUUAAAUCAAUAGAAAUAAAUCGUUAUGAACAUUGAAGAGAACUUUAUGUAUGCUUAUUAUUUGAGUUUUAAAGACUAUGUCACACUGUCAUUUUAAUGGUGCUCGUAACAAUCGUGAUCGAAUCGAAAAUAAAAACACCAUACGCGAGGCCUCGGAAAAAUGACAACUUUGAUGAGAGUGCAGGAUCACGUGACUCUGUGGGGUUCCAAUUAAACGUUGACGGAUGUAAACACACCGAAUCAUUUGACAUGUCGUACAUCGAGCGUGACGUACUUUGUUUGGCCAACAAUUUUAUCUGAUGUAGAUCAUGAUUCACUAUACCCU